rnacentral:tRNA from 1 species
AAUCUUAUAGUCAAAGAAUGAUUUUAGACUGCAAUUCUAAAGGUGUAAAAUUUACUAAGGUUU